CUCCUGACUGCAAUGCCGGCCAGACUGUGUGGAAACUCGGUUCAUACCAGCCGUUCUAGGGGUGGUGUGAGUUGUCAUCAUCCUUAGGAAAGCGUGUUGUUGUAGGAUCAACGCAUACUUCAAAAGGACUGUGCCUGUUCAUCAGCUCAGCUGUGUCUGCCCUGUGAAAUAUGGCAAGGAUAUUAAUUCCAGGAGAAUGGAGCUUCAUGACAAAAGAUGCCCAGUGAAGGACGAAUUAGGGACAUACUGAAAAUGAGAAAACGAUUCAAGACAGACAAGAGCUGCGGCGGUGGGUAGAGGACUCCUACAGAUGCGAGGUAAGGAGCCUUCCUCCCCACAGUUGCAGGAUCCUUAAGCGCUCACGAAGAUGAUGCCACAGCCCCUAGACUCUCUCAACACACACUUUCUCAGGUGUUGGCUUUUUCAGAUCACCCCUUCUGCCGCAAGAAAGGCCCUCAACAACUGGGUAAGUUUUUUUUUUCCCCCUCCUUGCUUUUGGGCCAAGUCAGGACAUGUAUGUAUUUUUCUCCCCACAGCUCUGUGCCCAAGCCUUGCAGAGGGAGACGGCAGAGAGGAAGGCUGCCUGCAAGCAGCACAGGUCAAUUCUCCUCAUCCUUUCUCAGAAUGGCCCUAGUUGCCCGAUCUCAUGGCUGGCCCUUCAGGAUCACUGAUGGGCUGCCAGCCGCCUCCUCCACCUGGAUGUCAUCUGGGAACUCAACCACUCCCUCCAUCUGGAGGUUUUCUGGGACCUCAACAAACUACUCCACUCGACUGUCCUCUGGGAACUCAACCACCUCCACUCGACUGUCCUCUGGGAACUCAACCACAUCCUGCACUAGAGAGUCCCCUGAAAACUCAACCACCUCCUCCACUCGAGUGUUCUCCGGGCCCUCAUCCAGCUCCUGCAGCUGUCAGUCCUCCAGGACCUCAUCCACCUGCUGCAGUUGCCUGUCUUUCCGGAUCUCAUCCACCACCUGCGGCUGUCAAUCCUCCGGGACCUCAAUCACCCACCUGCUGCACCUGUUGGUCCUCUGGGACCUCAUUGACCCGUGGCAUGCGUCUGUCCUUCGGGACUUAAUCCACCGCCUGCAGCUGUCAGUCUUCCGGAACCUCAUCCAUCUCCUGCAGCUGUUGGUCCUCUGGGACCUCAUCCGCUCCCUGCAGCUGUAGGUCUUCUGGGACCUCACCCACCUCCUGCAGCUGGUGGUCAUCUCAGACCUCAUCCACCUCCCGCAGCUGUAGGUCUUCUGGGAUCUUAUCCACCUCCUGCAGCUGUUGGUCCUCCAGGACCUCAUGUACCUCCUGGACUUGUAAGUCUUCUGGGACCUCAUCAACAUGCUACAUGUGUCUAUCUUCCAGGAACUCAUCCACCUCCUGCAGCUCUUGGUCCUCCCAGACCUCAUCCACGUCCAGCAUGUGUCCUCCCUCCAGGACCUCAUCCAUCUUUUGUAGCUGCCUUCUUCUGGGACAUCAUUCACCUUUUUGUUCUGUAAGGCCUCUGGGACUUCUGACUACAUCUCCACUUAGUAACCUCUGGAUCCUCAGCCACCCCUUCUGGGUGGCGUCUGGCCCCUCAGUAACCACCUUCACAUGAAUCUCCUCAGCUGCUUCAAUAAUCUCCACUCGUGGGCCCUGGGACUUCAGCCACCUCCUCCACCAGGGUCUCCUGUAGUACAUCUGCCAUCUUCUCCUCUUGGCUGGCCUCAGCUAUCUGAACCAACUCCUCCAGGACCUCAACCAGCUUCCCUACCCAUUGUGGCCUCGACCACCACCUCCACAUGUACCAUUUGGUGUGUUUAUCUGAACAGUAUGAACUGAGUUGCAAAAUGGAUUCAUCUUUUCUUUCUUGAAUGAAUAGAAAUGUCACAGAUUGUACUGCAGGGCUUUGCAAUACAAGGGUAGCGCUGGCUGAGGAUGUGGUCACUUUGCUCAAGUUUCUGAGACUACAAGUCAUUUGCAUUAUGUCCUCAUUAUGACCUUGGCAGCAGGUAUCUUCUGUAGAUGAGGAAAGAGUUUCUUUCAUUUUGGAGGGUUGGGGCAGAGUCUCACUCUGUCACCCAGGCUGGAGUGCAGGGGUGCACUUCUGGCUCACUGCAACCUCCACCUCCAGGGCUCCGGUGAUCCUUCCACCUCAGCCUCCAGAGUGGCUGGGACUACCUGUGUGCAACACCAUGCUUGGCUAUUUUUUUUUCUACCUUUUGUAGAGACCAUGUUUCACCACGUUGCUCAGGCUGGUCUCAAGCUCCUGGAGCCAUGCCGUCUGCCCACUUCGGCCUCGCAAAGUGCCGAGAUUACAAGUGUGAGCCACUGCGCCCAGCCAGAGAUUGUUUAUAGAAGCUAGAAAAAGCAGUUUUACAGGCGUGUAUGGAACCUGGGCCAUAUGGCCAGCUCUGUGAGGGAUGAGACCCGUCCCUGACUGGCAGGGCGUCCUGUGUCCUGCAGCAGAGAGACCCACACUGAAGGGCACAGAGCUUCUGACCACCCAGUGGAAGCACAGGUGAAGGGACGCAGGGUGCAGAAGGAGGAGACAGAAUCUCCUGGGAGUAAACAGGGGGCUGUGGAAGAGAAAGAUGAAGCAGGGAGGUGUCACAUGGGGGUUUGUUGAACUCAGAUGGAGCUGGAAGGCUCCUCCUAGCCAGGCAAGCAGUGUGAGCAGGAGCGUGGAGGCUGCGUGAGGCCCACACAGAGCCACCGUGGGAGCUCAGAUAGCACAGUGUGCACAGGGAAUUACCCCCACAGCACUUCCUUGUUGCCCUACAGCCUUUAGUCCAUUAUCGGCAGAAAGAUGAUUCUUUCCCUGGGUGUGUGAAGGCUCUGGAUCAGGGUAAAUGAAUGCCUAGAGGUCUAGGCAUUGGUUCUGUCAGGGGAAAAAUUUAGCUUGGUUCUGUCAGGGGAACCUGUGUCCCUGAGUUUUUAUGGCCCAAGGAGACUAGCAAUGAGGAUGGGUCUGGUUCAGUGGAGCUGCGGCCUUGGCCUUCAGAAUGAGGCUGACUCUGGCCGGAAACUCAAGGCCAAUCCUGAGCUGCUCUGGCCUCCUCUGAUCUCCAGCACCCUCUCCUUCCCACCCACGACUCUCAGCUUUGCAUCUCCCAACCUUGGCCUGCAAAGUGUUUCCCCUUCCCUGUGUCUUUGCUGCCUAGGCCCAGACACCAACUCUCAGUAGGGCUCAGAGCCCCAGCUUUCUCAGAAAUGAGCUGGGAAUGAUGUGAUUGUGAGGCCAUGGUGAGGGCAGGGAGACCAAGCUCAUAAGGAAAGUAUCUUGCAAAACAGCUGGUAGGUGGUAGAGCCUCACCCCUCCCGCUGGUUAAAUGAAAAUAUUCCCAGUCAGAAGAUCAGCAAAAGAUGUUCAUUGAAGUUCAUUUAAUAAACCUUAGGGUGUAAUAGCUCAGGCUCUGGGAUUUCCAGUUUCUCUUUCAAAAGAUAAGGGAAAGCCCCUGUCUCCAAGAUUAGAAUUCAGAUCCUUAUGAGAUGAAGACAUUCUAAAAAUGCAUACACAGUUAAACUCUGAGAUUUACAUCUGCGAUCUGUGGAUAAUUAUUCUCCAUGACAUACAGACACAGAUGCGGCCACACACAGACGUAUUCAGCAGGCGCACAGAUAUUUCAGAGAAGACAAAAUGUACAUUGGUCAAAAGAAGGUCACCUGGAAAUAAACCGAAAUCUUUUUACCUUACAGGACAAUUUUGAAAUUUGAAGAGUCUCCUUGGCCACGAUACCUUGGAAAAGUCUCCACCAUAUUUGAUGCCCCAUGCCCCGUGCUCCCUCCUCUCUCUCUCAUUUCCAUAGUGUUUCCCUUAAUAAACAUUUGCAGUCC
rnacentral:lncRNA from 10 species